UCUUAUGCAUGAGCAAAGAAAGUGAUUUCUUUAGAUGCAAUUUACUCCUAGUGAAGAUGCUGUGAA
rnacentral:pre_miRNA from 1 species